UAGUUUUUUUUUUGUUUUUUUGUUUCAUAUAUAAAAUGUAUUGUUGUUGGAUAAAAAAAUUGAAGGUGACUUUAAACUUGUGACUACAUAUGUGCCUUUAAUUUUGUAUAGUGUUGUGUUGCUAUACAAGAUUUGAUUUUCAAUAUUCUAAUGUGAAAAUAUUUUUUUUAUUGAUGUAACAGAAGAAUAUAGCAGUAGUAAUAGUUCGUUGAUGCAGCCAGCGACAUUUCUGAUCCUAAGUUGGGACUUCCAAAUCUAUCUUAUCAGUGAACCACAUGUGGUGCUAGCUCUCUAAAGUUUUGUGGAGGGCUUGAAAAACCUCGAGGUAUGUUCUCUUAUAUCAUUUUUUGGUGUUUUUGAGUUCUAUCUUAUUUCUUCAUGUGAUAAAUGUUUUUUGUUGUAUAAUGCAAGUGACAUUUCAAACUUCAAUUACAGUUCAAUCUUGUAUUUUUACCUUGGUUUCUUUUAAAAAUUUCAUUUGUAUGCUUAUUAAGAGGGUGAAACCUGUUUGACAUGGACUUAAUGAAUGUUAAUUAAAGUUGAAGAA